UCCCCGAUAGCUCAAUUGGUAGAGCAUGCGACUGUUAAUCGCAGUGUUCCUGGUUCGAGUCCAGGUCGGGGAG
rnacentral:tRNA from 1 species